AGAAGUAUCUCAGAUUGCUUCUGUCUAGAAUUUAUGUGAAGGUAUUUCCUUUUCUACCACAGGCCGCAAAGCACUACAAAUGUCCACUUGCAGAUUCUACAAAAAGAGUGUUUCAAAACUGCUCAAUGAAAAGAAAGGUUCAACUCUGUGAGAUGAAUGCACACAUCACAAAGAAGUUUCAGAGAAUGCUUCUGUGUAGUUUUUAUGUGAAGAUAUUUCCUUUUCCACCAUAGGCCGCAAAGAGCUCCAAAUGUCCACUUGCAGAUUCUACAAAAAGAGGGUUUCAAAACUGCUCAAUCAAAAG
rnacentral:lncRNA from 1 species